GUCCCAGCUGUAAACGAUGGUAACUAGAUGUGGGAGGUAUCGACCCCUUCCGUGUCGUCGCUAACGCUUUAAGUUACCCGCCUGGGGAGUACGGCCGCAAGGUUAAACUCAAAGGAAUUGACGGGGCCCGCACAAGCGGUGGAGCAUGUGGUUUAAUUCGACGCUACGCGAAGAACCUUACCUGGGCUCGAACGACUAGUAGUAGCCUUUUUGAAAGAGAGGGCGACCCGCAAGGGAGCUAGCCGAGGUGCUGCAUGGCUGUCGU
rnacentral:rRNA from 1 species